UACGUAGGGUGCAAGCGUUAAUCGGAAUUACUGGGCGUAAAGCGUGCGCAGGCGGUCUUGCAAGACAGAUGUGAAAUCCCCGGGCUCAACCUGGGAACUGCAUUUGUGACUGCAAGGCUGGAGUACGGUAGAGGGGGAUGGAAUUCCGCGUGUAGCAGUGAAAUGCGUAGAUAUGCGGAGGAACACCGAUGGCGAAGGCAAUCCCCUGGACCUGUACUGACGCUCAUGCGCGAAAGCGUGGGGAGCAAACAGG
rnacentral:rRNA from 1 species